rnacentral:rRNA from 1 species
CCUACGGGAGGCUGCAGUGGGGAAUAUUGGGCAAUGGGCGAAAGCCUGACCCAGCAAAGCCGCGUGAAGGAAGAAGGCUUUCGGGUUGUAAACUUCUUUUGACAGGGAAGAGCAGAAGACGGUACCUGUCGAAUAAGCCACGGCUAACUACGGGCCAGCAGCCGCGGUAAUACGUAGGGGGCAGGCGGUGUCCGGGUUUACUGGGUGUAAAGGGCGUGUAGCCGGGAUGAGAAGUCAGAUGUGAAAUCCGAGGGCUCAACCCGCGUACUGCAGUUGAAACUGUUGUUCUUGAGUGGCUGAGAGGCAGGCGGAAUGCGUAGUGUAGCGGUGAAAUGCGUAGAUAUGAGGAAGAA